rnacentral:lncRNA from 1 species
UUCUUCUUUGUUUUCCUUUUCUCAUAGGCAUGAUUGCCUUAUUAUGUAGCCAAGUUUAUUUUCUAAAUGAAUGAAGCGAUAACAUGCCACCAAUUUUUCAAAAAAAUAAAAGUUGAUAUAUGAAUAGUAUUGCUCUUUUUAAUAUAGUAAUAUUGUGGGCCACUAUCUUAAACCAUCACCACCACCACUGUCCCCACUCCCUUCUUUGACGUUCGAUCGAAAUUUUAGAAGGUUGUUGCAGAUUCAAGAGGCCGUAAAAUGAGUACGAUAGUCUGACAAGUUCUUCACUGGAUUUAUUAUAAAUACGAUAUUUUACAAUAGUUGUUUAUUUUUCCAACAUCAAGAAACUAGGGCAAGGGCCCGUUUUGUAAAAGUAUAGGCGAGAAUCGAAACCCUAAUUAAACUUAGAGAUGGAAUCCUCCAUAACAAAUUAGAUAGAAUAUCUUAAAAAAUUAUGGAGGCAACAACAGUUUGAUAAAAAUACAAAAUCUUGAUACUCCUUCACUAUCAAUUAAUUGUGCCUUCAGGGA